GUAUGGGAUAAAGUGGGUGUAUAUUGACAGUACUAAAUGUAAUAUGUUACAUUUAAAAAUGCAGAAAUACCAUAGUUCAAGCAGCAACAACAUAUAAUAUGUAUAAACAUUUUCUACAGUUAAUGACGAUGAAUUAUAAUACUACAGAUCUAUAGAUUAUAAAACAUGCCAAUUUUUGUUUUACCGUGGUUUGUUCCUGCUUGGUACACUAGCUGGCCAUGUAUGGUAAACAUUAUACACUCCGGCACUAUCCUGAGAAACUGAGUAAAUAGGGUAAUAUGGAUAAUAACCAUAGCAAUAAUUCUGUUCUGUAGGUGAUGUUACAGUUGGGGAAGAAGAACCAGCCUCUGGUAUCCCACUCACACAUGAAACACUACUCCGUCCUGGGUGCAUAGUGGAAGAUGACUAGAUUUGUACACUUUCUAAUCGAAUAAGAACUAAAAUUUAUCCACUAUCAAGUUCUAUACUGGGAUGAGUGACAAUUAUCAAAUAUUGUCCAACUUGUUAAAUCGACUACACAUGGCAGAGUUAAUCUAGGUCGUUGAAAUGAAAAUGACAUGAUAUUACACCACAUACGAAAACGUCACUAACCUUGGCAGAGAGAUAAUCUAAAACAAAUCAUUCAAUGUGACAUUUCCACAGAGUCAAAGUGUUAUUCCAAAAGUGUCAACAUAUAUAAUCCUGGAACAGCUGAUUAAAAUCCCUUAAUUAUCUCAUUCCUAUAUAUUUCUGCAGUAUAAAUAACAAACAAACAUGUUUAUUUCUGCUCCAGUUGUUUACAAGUGGUCAGACAGUUUUUCUUCACCUGACUGAUAAACAUACUGUACACACCUUUAGGAUACAUAUGAACUUCUUGAAAUGAAAUUCGGUCUAGGUUAUUAAAUGUCAAUGCUCCAUUGGAGUUAAAAUUAC
rnacentral:lncRNA from 1 species